rnacentral:rRNA from 1 species
AUGAACGCUGGCGGCGUGCCUAAUACAUGCAAGUCGAGCGGCAAGCAACGGUCUUCGGACUGGUGGCGAGCGGCGGACGGCUGAGUAGCGCGUAGGAAUGUACCCAAAGUGAGGAAUAACUGCCCGAAAGGGUGGCUAAUGCCGCAUGUGCUCUACGGAGUAAGCUUUAUGCGCUUUGGGAACAGCCUGCGCCCGAUUAGCUAGUUGGUAGUGUAAUGGACUACCAAGGCGAUGAUCGGUAGCUGGUCUGAGAGGAUGAUCAGCCAGACUGGGACUGAGACACGGCCCAGACUCCUACGGGAGGCAGCAGUAGGGAAUUUUCCACAAUGGACGAAAGUCUGAUGGAGCAACGCCGCGUGCAGGAUGAAUGCCUUCGGGUUGUAAACUGCUUUUAAUAGUGACGAUUAUGACGGUAACUAUUGAAUAAGGAUCUGCUAACUACGUGCCAGCAGCCGCGGGUCAUACGUAGGAUCCAAGCGUUAUCCGGAAUUACUGGGCGUAAAGAGUUGCGUAGGUGGCAGAGUAGAUAGGACAGUGAAAGCGUGUGGCUCAACCAUACAUCCAUUGUCUAAACUGCUCAGCUAGAAGAUGAGAGAGGUAGAUGGAAUUCCUAAUGGAGGGGUAAUAUCCGUAGAUAUUAGGAGGAACACCGAUGGCGUAAGCAGUCUACUGGCUCAUUCUUGACACUAAGGCACGAAAGCGUGGGGAGCAAACAGGAUUAGAUACCCUGGUAGUCCACGCCGUAAACUAUGGAUGCUAGCUGUAAGAGGUAUCGACCCCUCUUGUAGCGAAGCUAACGCGUUUAAGCAUCCCGCCCUGUGGGAGUACGAGCGCAAGCUUUAAAACAUAAAGGAAUUGACGGGGACCCGCACAAGCGGUGGAGCGUGUUGUUUAAUUCGAUGGUAAGCGAAGAACCUUACCCAGGCUUGACAUCCUUGGAAUUUCUCCGAAAGGAUGAAAAGUGUCUUCGGAAACCAAGUGACAGGUGAUGCAUGGCCGUCGUCAGCUCGUGUCGUGAGAUGUUAGGUUAAGUCCUUCAACGAGCGCAACCCUUAUAGUUAGUUGUAUUUUUCUAGCUAGACUGCCCUGGUAACAGGGAGGAAGGGGGGGGAUGAUGUCAGGUCAGUAUUUCCCUUACGUCUGGGGCUACAAACACGCUACAAUGGCCGGUACAAAGGGCAGCCAAGUCGCGAGACGGAGCAAAUCCCAUCAAAGCCGGUCUCAGUUCGGAUUGCAGGCUGAAACUCGCCUGCAUGAAGCUGGAAUCGCUAGUAACGGUAAGUCAGCACAUUACCGUGAAUACGUUCCCGGGUCUUGUACACACCGCCCGUCAAACCAUGAAAGUCGCCAAUACCUGACGUAUUGCCUUUGCGCAGUCCCUAAGGUAGGGGAGAUGAUGGGGUUA